UUCUUUCCUCUGUCAGGACAAGGAAUACAUGUACACAGAAAUUUAUACUAAGCUGUGGUUCCAACAUUGCUUUAUUGACCAGGUAAGUGUACCCAGGGAGACUAGGUCCCCAAGAGGCAUCCCCCAGGCAAGCCCAGAGCCCUGGGGGGGGCGUGGGUCCUGAGGCUGAGCCAUCUUCCCCUGGGCUCCUGUAGGAAGCUGGUCAGGCUGGGGGGGAGGGCAAGCAUGUGCCACACUGCAGUCAACCCCAGGCUCCUCUGAAUAUCUCCUGCAGAGCAGGGGGCUGUCUUUUGUCCCCAGGACAGUGGAGGUACAGGCCAGGCUGGCUGGGACCUCCUCAGUCCACUCAGUUAAGGCUGUACGGCUUUUUUGGAGGCAGCCUGUGGGACUGCAGAACCCAGAGGCAGUGGGAGCUCCUAACCUGUGCUGGGACACCCCCCCACACACCUCAUGCCCUGCUCAAACCGCCCCUCCUGGGCCUGCUGUCCCCACAGACACCUUUCUCACUCACACUAAGACUAUGGAUGUAUACAUCCUGGAGGGGGAGCGAAUGCUCACAGCCAUGGCCUAUACAAUCAUCAAGCUGCACAGAAGUGAGUAAGCCCGAGCCUGGGCCACUCAGGCCACAGAGAGGGCCAGCCAGGACUCAGGCUGGGCAGGGUCCCUGGAGAGUGGCAGGAAUGGGGCUGGCUCCUGGUUGUGGCACUGCUGUGGCUCUCCUGGGCCCAGCCGAUCAUGCAUGCUGCCCCCAGGGAGGGGCCCAGGGUGGGGAUGAGCCUUCCCAGUGGGGGCCCUGUUGGCUUGAUGACAUCCCCAUCCCCAGAACACCUCCUGAAGCUGCCCCUGCAAGGCCUGUAUGAGUUUCUUCAGGACAAGAUCUCCGGGCCCUGGCCCUAGAGGAUGAUGCAGUGAUCAAAAAGCUACAGGCAUCAAUGGCUGAACUGCACAGGAAGAACUGGGACCUACCUCCCCCAGCAAAACCUGAGGAGUUCCCCACGAGGACCCUGGGCGUGGAGCGAUCAUCCCUGGAACCCAAGCCUUGCCCAACCAUUAUAAGCAUUAAGGAACUCUCUGGAGAAGACGGGCCUGACCUCCCUGGCCCACCUGCUAAGCACCAGCAGCCCGGACCCUCACACAGCCAGGCCUGCCUAAAGGCUGAGGAACACCAGCAAGAGCAGACCAUGGCACCACAACUCCGUUGGAGGGCCCGAGAGCCACCACGUCUGGCCUGCCCGUUUCCACCCCUGGACAUACCUCAGGACCGGAUGUGGCCGUGGAGAUGGGCUUCUCUUCCCAACAUCCCCAGGAACUAUGAGUGUCCCCUCAAGUGGCCAAUUGAUAUAGGAUUCGAGCCCGAGUGUUGGGACCUUUGCCCCUCAGCACGGGCCAAGGUCGCCCUCAGGGCCACAUUGCAGGCCUAGCCCUGCAGUCCCACAAAGGCCUCAGCCACAGGUCCUGCCCAGGCCCACUGAACACGCAGCCACGGGGCCCAGGACACCCCUCCUGACCCAUAGCAAGUGCAGCCAAUGCCCCUCCCAGGGCCGUGAUCAGCACGGCCAAGAUAGGAUACGUGGUUUCAAUUUCAUUACAAUUUGUAACGCUACUCCAUCGUUUUGCAAAUGACCCUCUGACAUUAUCUAUGACAUAAAGGGCAUUUGUGAUGAAGUUUUUGACAAAAAUCCAGUGACUUCUAGGAUUUGUCUUUCAAAUGACAUGCAUCUAGCCACUUGUAGCAUGAAAUUAUUGAAUCCCAAAUCCCAGUGUCCACCACAGGGUGGCAGAAUUCAUCUUCUGCCUCAGUCAUCAGGCUGCAAGUAUUCAUGGAGCAGACACUUCCAAAAACAUCUAAGCAUUCCUAUUAAGGAGCUCUAAUGGCAGUGUACCAGUAAUUUCCCACUAUAAAUCUCCUAGAGCUAGUUUCAUUUCUUUUUUGUUACUAUGAUGCAAAAAUGGUAGUGGUGAAUUUGGUAGGGUUUGCAGCAUGUCUCUAAUGACCUUAGACCAUGUUAUUUCCAGAAACUGGCCUAAUUACUUCAAACCCUUUAGUUUGGCUAAACAGAAGAGUUCUAUUUGGCUAAUUCUAUUUACCACAGCUUGCCUAGUCUCCCAAGCUUCUCCCUCUGAGACAAAAACUAUUAUGAAGUUGUCAAUAUAAUGAAUUAACUUACUUUAGGUAUGGUAAUACAUAAGUCUUUUUUAAAAAGUAUGACAGUAUGCUAAAUCUAUAUCUUUGGGGGAAAAUAGUAAACCUAUACUGUAUUCUUUUGCAUAGAAAAGUAAACUAUGCCUGACGGUUCUUUGUUUCUAAAAGUUAAUCUGGAAGCAUAAAUGUAUGCAAAUUGCAAUUAAUUUUCAAAAGAGUAAUGAGUCUUUCUAGAAGGCAAAACGAAUUAUAAUGUUAGAAUCAUAUCCUGGCUCAGAAAUACAUAUCGAAUGCAAAUCAUUAACAAAACAUGAAUUAGCCCAAUUUCACAAAGAUAUAUUUAGAAUAAGGAUAUUUCAAUAUAAAAUAUGGAAUCCCUGCUGUGGCACAAUAGGACUGGCAACACCAAGGACACAGGUUCAAUCCCUGGGCUGGCACAGUAGGUUAAAUAAAAGAUCCUUUGUUGCCA
ensembl:lncRNA